rnacentral:rRNA from 1 species
UACGUAGGGGGCAAGCGUUGUCCGGAUUUAUUGGGCGUAAAGAGCGUGUAGGCGGACCAUACCAGGGUCACGCCUGUGAAAACAUCGAGGCUCAACCUCGAGACGUCGGUUGAAACCGUAUGGCUAGAGUCCGGAAGAGGAGAGUGGAAUUCCCGGUGAUAGCGGUGAAAUGCGCAGAUAUCGGGAAGAACACCCGUGGCGAAGGCGGCUCCUCUGGGACGGUACUGACGCUGAGACGGCGAAAAGCGUGGGGAGCGAACAGG